rnacentral:rRNA from 1 species
AGGACGAACGCUGGCGGCGUGCCUAAUACAUGCAAGUCGAACGGUCUUUUCUAUGGAAGCUUGCUUCCACUGAGAAGAUAGUGGCGAACGGGUGAGUAACACGUGGGUAACCUGCCCAUAAGAGGGGGGAUAACAUCCGGAAACGGGUGCUAAUACCGCAUAGUUUUCUUGAUCGCAUGAUCGGGAAAGGAAGGACGGCCUUUGUGCUGUCGCUUAUGGAUGGACCCGCGGCGUAUUAGUUAGUUGGUGAGGUAACGGCUCACCAAGACGAUGAUACGUAGCCGACCUGAGAGGGUGAUCGGCCACAUUGGGACUGAGACACGGCCCAAACUCCUACGGGAGGCAGCAGUAGGGAAUCUUCCGCAAUGGACGAAAGUCUGACGGAGCAACGCCGCGUGAGUGAAAGAAGGUUUUCGGAUCGUAAAACUCUGUUGUCAGAGAAGAACAAGUUGGAGAGUAACUGCUCCAGCCUUGACGGUAUCUGACCAGAAAGCCACGGCUAACUACGUGCCAGCCGCCGC